rnacentral:rRNA from 1 species
UACGGAGGGUGCAAGCGUUAUCCGGAAUCACUGGGUUUAAAGGGUGCGUAGGCGGCGUCGAAAGUCAGUCUUGAAAUCGCUGGGCUUAACCCAUGCAAUUGGGAUUGAUACUACGGUGCUUGAAUCAGGUUGAGGUUGGCGGAAUGUGACAUGUAGCGGUGAAAUGCAUAGAUAUGUCAUAGAACACCGAUUGCGAAGGCAGCUGGCUGGGCCUUGAUUGACGCUGAGGCACGAAAGCGUGGGGAGCAAACAGG